rnacentral:rRNA from 1 species
ACGAACGCUGGCGGCGUGCUUCACACCUGCCAGUCGCACGGAAAGGCCCUGCUUUUGUGGGGUGCUCGAGUGGCGAACGGGUGAGUAACACGUGAGUAACCUGCCCUUGACUUUGGGAUAACUUCAGGAAACUGGGGCUAAUACCGGAUAGGAGCUCCUGCUGCAUGGUGGGGGUUGGAAAGUUUCGGCGGUUGGGGAUGGACUCGCGGCUUAUCAGCUUGUUGGUGGGGUAGUGGCUUACCAAGGCUUUGACGGGUAGCCGGCCUGAGAGGGUGACCGGCCACAUUGGAACUGAGAUACGGCCCAGACUCCUACGGGAGGCAGCAGUGGGGAAUAUUGCACAAUGGGCGGAAGCCUGAUGCAGCAACGCCGCGUGCGGGAUGACGGCCUUCGGGUUGUAAACCGCUUUCGCCUGUGACGAAGCGUGAGUGACGGUAAUGGGUAAAGAAGCACCGGCUAACUACGUG